rnacentral:tRNA from 1 species
GCGCCCGUAGCUCAACUGGACAGAGUGCUUGGUUACGGCCCAAGAGGUUGUGGGUUCGACUCCUGCCGGGCGCACCA